UACGUAGGGUGCAAGCGUUAAUCGGAAUUACUGGGCGUAAAGCGUGCGCAGGCGGUGAUGUAAGACAGAUGUGAAAUCCCCGGGCUCAACCUGGGAACUGCAUUGUGACUGCAUCGCUGGAGUGCGGCAGAGGGGGAUGGAAUUCCGCGUGUAGCAGUGAAAUGCGUAGAUAUGCGGAGGAACACCGAUGGCGAAGGCAAUCCCCUGGACCUGUACUGACGCUCAUGCACGAAAGCGUGGGGAGCAAACAGG
rnacentral:rRNA from 1 species